UUCCCUUCCGUUCUCACAUAUUGUGAAAUACUGAAGCUCUCACCAGAUCAGAUCGAAGUGACCAAGCACCGUCUCUCUCUCCGGCGCAGGACGACUCUCAUCUCGAUCACACACGGACACGAGUUUUGAUCAAAAGAAGAAUGGAAGAUUCAGAUUAGAUGAUUUCAUAUCUCUUUGUAUAUUUUUGCAGUCAGCUCGUAAUAUGUUUGAUUCAUUUGAUACUGCUAAGCAGGGCCGGGUGACUCUUGAUCUCAACCAAUUUGUAUAUUGCAGUGAGUAUUUUUUUUUUAAUCUUUUUUAACAGUAUAGUCCAAAUAACACAUGGGAUUUUAUUGCUUAUUU